rnacentral:misc_RNA from 1 species
GUAUUAAAAUGCGUUUAUCGCAGAUUACAUUCAUUGACUGAACAGAGUAUGUAAAGACAUAGGCAGACUUGCACCGAGAACACAGAGUCCCCAGUCCGCAUCUAACCUACAAAUGUGCACAGGUGUAAGUGGAUGAGCAGGGUGUGCACAUGCCUCGUGAAAGGCCAGCUACAACCCCUUUCAAAUUCGAUAAUGAUCCUUCCGCAGGUUCACCUACGGAAA